AACGAACGCUGGCGGCAGGCUUAACACAUGCAAGUCGAACGCCCCGCAAGGGGAGCGGCGGACGGGUGAGUAACGCGUGGGAACGUACCCUUUGCUACGGAAUAGCCUCGGGAAACUGGGAGUAAUACCGUAUGUGCCCUUCGGGGGAAAGAUUUAUCGGCAAAGGAUCGGUCCGCGUUGGAUUAGGUAGUUGGUGGGGUAAUGGCCUACCAAGCCGACGAUCCAUAGCUGGUUUGAGAGGAUGAUCAGCCACACUGGGACUGAGACACGGCCCAGACUCCUACGGGAGGCAGCAGUGGGGAAUCUUAGACAAUGGGCGCAAGCCUGAUCUAGCCAUGCCGCGUGAGCGAUGAAGGCCUUAGGGUUGUAAAGCUCUUUCAGUGGGGAAGAUAAUGACUGUACCCACAGAAGAAGCCCCGGCUAACUCCGUGCCAGCCGCCGCGGUAACAC
rnacentral:rRNA from 1 species